rnacentral:lncRNA from 1 species
UUACUUUCUGUGACCGUUGUGUUUUCUAUUCUACAGUCAGAGCACAGAAACGGUUUUCUUCGGGCUUUUGAAAGAGGUUUAUGAACUAAGCACCUGAUUUCCACCUAUAAUACUGUAAUUCAAUAACUUGUGUGAUAUAUGAGAAAUCCUGAAGUUCAUCACACUGUAACUGAAUUGCCAUUCCCACAACACUCCAGAGAGUUCUCUUGUCCUCUUUUGGCCAUGUGAGGAUACAAGAAGAUGGCAGUCUGCAACCAAGACGGCUCUCACCAGAACCCAA